ensembl:lncRNA
AUGCUUUUAUUAGAAAUAGGAAAUUAUUUAAACAUGUAUAUAGGAUUUUUAUGUGCAAGAGUAACUUCUACAUUUAAAAAUUUUCCUUUUAAAGCUCAGCAAACAACGUAUAAAAUGUUGGGACGUCUAUCCACUCCUUACAAACCAUUUCUUCCUUAACAACUUUCUCUAAUUUCAGAAAAGAUCAUUACUACUUCUUUGCUAUAUCAAGAGAGAAGUAAAACCUUUUUCAAAAGGCAGAUACUGUUUGACUGAUUGCAUAUUUGACCAACUGUGUCAGUAAAGCAUCCUUUAAUGAGUAAAAUAACCACCAUUACUUGUUCCUUUGGGUUAUGCCAUUAGAAAUACAAAUUUUUAAAAGGCUGUGUUUUCUGGAGGAGUAAUAUGUCAGCCAAGUUAGCAAUUAAACUUCCAAUUUCAACUGAAAGAAUUAUCUGGUUUAUUUAUAUGCUUAUUUAAACUACACUCUUCUUUAUUACAGAAGAGAUUUUUAAGUGGUUGAGCAAUGUCCAGUCCAUUUCUACCACUGACUAGUUACAUGAAUUUUAAUUAUAUCUUAGAUUCUCCAUCUUCAAAUUGGGGAAAAUGAGCCCUUAUUAGAGAAUGUUUUUGAAAAUUAAAAGGAAAAUUUUAUAUCAAUGUUUGUCAUAAACAGUAAGUGCUACCUGAAUGCUCAUUGCUAUUAUUUGUUUUCCUAGCUGAGAUCAGAAAUAUAAAGAGAUGAGACCCACACGUGCUUUUGGAAAGGAGCUGGGGUGGGGUGCUGGGUACUGAUCAGCUUGGUGAAGCUCACGUGGAGAGCCCUGAUCACCAAGGAAACAAAUGAAAGGAUGAGGAGAGACACACUGACGACCAAGGAGGAAGUUUUAAAAUGAACUUAAAGUGAUACAGCCACUUUGAAAGACUGUUUGGUACAUCUUACAAAGCUAAAUGCUGUCUUACUACAUAUACUCCAGCAAUCAUGCGGGAGUAAGCAAAUGAAUAUCAAUAUUAGCUGAUGGUUACUAACCAAACUUACUGCGGGACAUUUCACAGUCUUGUAUAAGUCAAGUCAUUAUGCAGCACCCUUAAAACUUACAUAUAUGCUGUAUGCCAAUUACAAUCUCAGUAAAACUGAAAAGAAAGGACAGCAUGUUCACACAAAAACCUGCACAUGGAUGUUUAUAAAAAGCUUUAUUUACAAUCGCCAAAACUUGGAAGCAAUCAAGAUACCCUUCAAUAGAUGAAUCAAUAAAUAACCUGUGGUACAUCCAGACAAUAAGAUAGUAUUCAGUGAUAAAAAGAAAUGAGUGAUUAAGCCACGAAAAGACUUGGAGGAAACUGAAAUGCACAUUGCUAUGUAAAACAAGUUCAUAUGAAAAGGCUACUUACUGUAUGAUCCCAACUCUAUGACAUUCUAGAAAAAAACAGGACUAUGGAGACCAGGGGAAAGAGGGCAGGUUGCAUAGGUACAACACAGGAGAUUUUUAGAGUAGUGAAACUAUUUUGCAUAAUAUGGUAAUGAUGGAUACAUAACAUUAUCAAAACCUGUCAAACUAUUAAACACAAAGAGUGAAUCCCAAGAUAAACUGUGCAUUUCACCAGGCUCCACUGUCCAUGGAAUUCUCCAGACAAGAAUACUGGAGUGAGUAGCCAUUCCUNNNNNNNNNNNNNNNNNNNNNNNNNNNNNNNNNNNNNNNNNNNNNNNNNNNNNNNNNNNNNNNNNNNNNNNNNNNNNNNNNNNNNNNNNNNNNNNNNNNGAAUACUGGAGUGAGUAGCCAUUCCUUUCUCCAGGGGAUCUUCCCGACCCGGGGAUCAAAUCAAAUCUGGGUCUCUUGCAUUGCAGGCAGAUUCUUUAUCAUCUGAGCACCAGGAAGCCCAAUAUAUUACUAUUGAUUCAUCAAUUGUAACAAAUGUGCUCCCACUAAUGUAAGAUGUUAAUAACAGGGAAAGCUAUGGAGAGAGUAGAGGGAUUCUCUGUACUUCCUGCUCAUUUUUUUUUCCCUCUAAAUAGAGUCUGUUAAUCUAAAGCAAAACAAACUCAGUAACCUCACAACUAGAGCAUGUCAUAUCCUAGUUACCGUUUGAUGUUGCCUUUGAGACUUUGCAUAGAGUCACAGGAUAAUAUCUAUAGCAGCACUUUUGUUUAUUAAAUGUAUUUUCUAAUCUUGUUCCAAACAGGACUUAAGUAAGCUAGAUAAAAAGGCCUGGGUACCAGUGCUGUGAGGUUUCCCA